UACGGAGGGUGCGAGCGUUAUCCGGAUUUACUGGGUUUAAAGGGUGUGUAGGCGGACUGUUAAGUCAGUGGUGAAAUCCCGGGGCUCAACCCCGGAACUGCCAUUGAUACUAUCAGUCUUGAAUACUGUGGAGGUGAGCGGAAUGUGUCAUGUAGCGGUGAAAUGCUUAGAGAAUGACACAGAACACCGAUUGCGAAGGCAGCUCACUACGCAGUUAUUGACGCUGAGGCACGAAAGCGUGGGGAUCAAAC
rnacentral:rRNA from 1 species